UACGUAGGGGGCAAGCGUUGUCCGGAAUCACUGGGCGUAAAGCGCGCGCAGGCGGUUUCUCACGUCCGGGGUGAAAGCCCAGAGCUCAACUCUGGGACUGCCUUGGAUACGGGGAAACUUGAGGAUCGGAGAGGCAAGGGGAAUUCCACGUGUAGCGGUGAAAUGCGUAGAGAUGUGGAGGAACACCUGUGGCGAAGGCGCCUUGCUGGCCGAUUUCUGACGCUGAGGCGCGAAAGCUAGGGGAGCGAACGGG
rnacentral:rRNA from 1 species